GAUUGUUUGUCAGUGACUUCUUUUAAAUGAUCCAGGAAGCAAUAAAGUGCAAUAAAUGCUGGAAAACUCUUACUGUUCUUGAAGGGUUUGGCUCAGUGCUGAUUCAUAUAGUUAUAAAAGUUGCACUUGCUUGGUACAGUGACAAUUAAUCAUUUAUUCAUAUGAUAAUGAGGAAUCCCAUAUCAAGAGAAUAGCUAUGUUAAUAUUUAAGGGUGUAAAGGAGGCUUGUAGUGCUGCCAAGCCCAUGAAAUGAGAAUCACAGGAGGAAGAAAAAGUUUAAACUUCAUUCUUUGAAUUUCUUGCGUACCUUUGGGAGACCUGCUCAUGCAUGCAGCGUUGCAUACUGUCCCUGGCAGUACAGGGGUCUGUGUGGUGAGCAACUGAAGCACAAGAAACCACAAGCAGAAGUCCUGAGAUAUGAUUUGAAGCUGCAACUCUUGCUAAUGGGUGCAACAUUCAGCACAACACACAGGCUCAUUUGAAAGAUGUGGAAUCUUUGUUUCUUGCAGCAUGGAGAUUCAGCAACCUCCUGGCACCUUCUUCCAGGCGCAGCUGGUGCAGUCACACUUUGAUUCAGCUUGGAAUGGAAGUGGUGGACAGCGAGAGGAGAGUGUGGUGGCAAGGGCAGGAGGGAGAUACAUUCUCUGAGUCAGGAGUGGAGAGCAGAGAGCAGGAGAGUGAGGCUGCCACAACUGUGGAGCCAUGGCACCCACAUAGAUUUGGACUAAAAAUUUCCACAGACCACAUUGGGAGCUGCUGGUCUCACACUAUCUUCAGUGAGCACCUUCAAAGGUCUGAGCUGGGACCCAUAUAUGCCAUCUCUUUCGUUGGCACCCUAAUUAUGAGGAGUUGAAGGUACUGAGGAAGAAAGUGCCCUGGUGUAUUGUAGUGCUGAGGAUGACCAGAC
rnacentral:lncRNA from 1 species